GGUUCCUUAGCUCAGUCGGUAGAGCGCGGGACUUUUAAUCCUGAGGUCACGGGUUCGACCCCCGUAGGAAUCG